GGGCUUGUGGUUUAGUGGUAUAAUUUUCCCUUAGCAUGUCGAUUGCAAUCUUGUCGAUUGAACCACUUGAGAAAAUGGGAAAGGUCCUGGGUUCGAUUCCCAGCAAGUCCA